CAGGUUUGUGGAACAAGCACUUAAUACUUGGCAGCAAGCAGCCAGAGGCUUGAUGCGCAAGUAAGAGGGUGUAGGAGGCCCGUUGUAGCCGAGGGUAGCAGGCGGCCAGAAAGCGCUGAGGCAUCGUUCCCCAGGCCAGCAUUCCAAUGUGGGAAAGAAGUCCGUCAGCGGCUUGUUCCAACAUCUGCAAGAUAUUGAUGGAGAACGAGGGAGUUGUCCAAGUUCCAGCUAGAGGCUGCUUCAUCACCUGCCCGGGUUCCCUGGAGCAUUCAUCAUGGAGCAGAGAGGCAGUGAGCUCAGAGUGGACACACAGCCUGAACGAGAAGCAAACCUUCAUGGCUGCAAGCCAUAGACAUCAUGGGGUUGUAUGUUCCCCCAAACCUAGCCUCUUUUAACUGACGAAGUGUAUUUUCUAUUUUUAAAAAUGUUUUAUUGGAGUGUAGUUGAUUUACAGUAUUGUGUUAGUUUCUUUACUUUUUAAAAAUUUUAUAAUUGGAGUAUAGUUGAUUUAAAAAUGUUGUGCUAGUUUCUGCUGUACAGCGAAGUGAAUCAGUUAUGCAUAUACAGGCAUCCACGCUUUCUUCGGUUCUUUUCCCAUAUAGGUCAUUACACAGUACUGAGUAGAGUUCCCCAUGCUAUACAGCAGCUCCUUGUUAUCUACUUUAUGUAUGGUAGCGCGUAUAUGUCAAUCCCAAUCUCCGAAUUGAUUCCUUCUCCCUUUCCCCCCUGGACUGUAAGGUUGUUUUCUUCAUCUGUGACUCUCUUUGUUUUGAUUUUUUAGAUUCUACAUAUAAGCAAUGUCAUCUGAUAUUUGACUUUCUCUGUCUGACUUAUUUCAUUCAGUACGACAAUCUCUAGGUCCAUCCAGUUGCCAUAAGUGGCAGUAUUUCCUUCUUCUCCUGGCUGAGUAAUGUGACUUCCAUUGCAUACAUGUACCCUCUGUGCACAAGACCUAAACCUCCUGCCCUGCAUGAAACAUUUGCUCUCCUAGAAGAUAAUUGAAGUGGCCUGCUAUCGGUGGUCUCUGCUUCCUAUUUUAGCACACAGCUCUCUUUUUCAUAUUAGCCCUGAUUAGCCCACUCUGAGUAAAAAAUCAAAUAAUUCCAAUCAUGGACUAAAGCAGUAUACUUUUUUCCACCAAUUAAAAAAAAAAAAACUGUUACAGUUUUCCAAGGAAGAAUUUUCUGGAGGAUUUUGGGUUUAUCAAUGGUCAAAAUGUAAUCAGAAAUAAGUCCUAGGUGAGCAAAGGAAAUCAGAAGUCGAGACACUUAGUAAUAAAGUAAUGAAUGAUUUUCUAGAGUGAUUGGCUUUGCUGAAGUAAAUAGAGGUCCUUCUGGCUACACAGUCGAGCAUAUUGCUUCCUGGGGAUGCCACUUUGUUGGUUAAACUUCUGAUCCAUUUCAUCACUUGGCGGUAACACCUCAGCGAGCACCCCAGGAAGUGGCACUUGGGAUCUUGGCAGGCCUCGAGGCACCUGGUUGGGUUCAUCUCUCCAGAUACCAACACCAGUCGUGUUCAUGAAUCAGUCCACCGAAGUCAGGCAGCAUAUUCAGUCUUAACUAGCCAGAAGGUGUGGUCUUCUGUGGAACUGUGCUACCCUAGACCUGCCAUGGAGGAGCGCAACCUUAAACCGAUCUUGCCAUGUCUGGCCCUGGCCAUGCCCAGUGCAGGUCAUGCCCAUGGGACACACUUCUGUCUGCCUUCCUGGUUUUUUGUUCUAGUUUUCCCACCAC